UUUAUCGGUUUUGGAUGGACUCGCGGCCUAUCAGCUUGUUGGUGAGGUAAUGGCUCACCAAGGCGACGACGGGUAGCCGGCCUGAGAGGGUGACCGGCCACACUGGGACUGAGACACGGCCCAGACUCCUACGGGAGGCAGCAGUGGGGAAUAUUGCACAAUGGGCGCAAGCCUGAUGCAGCGACGCCGCGUGAGGGAUGACGGCCUUCGGGUUGUAAACCUCUUUCAGUAGGGAAGAAGCGAAAGUGACGGUACCUGCAGAAGAAGCACCGGCUAACUACGUGCCAGCAGCCGCGGUAAUACGUAGGGUGCGAGCGUUAUCCGGAAUUAUUGGGCGUAAAGAGCUCGUAGGCGGUUUGUCGCGUCUGUCGUGAAAGUCCGGGGCUUAACCCCGGAUCUGCGGUGGGUACGGGCAGACUAGAGUGCAGUAGGGGAGACUGGAAUUCCUGGUGUAGCGGUGGAAUGCGCAGAUAUCAGGAGGAACACCGAUGGCGAAGGCAGGUCUCUGGGCUGUAACUGACGCUGAGGAGCGAAAGCAUGGGGAGCGAACAGGAUUAGAUACCCUGGUAGUCCAUGCCGUAAACGUUGGGCACUAGGUGUGGGGACCAUUCCACGGUUUCCGCGCCGCAGCUAACGCAUUAAGUGCCCCGCCUGGGGAGUACGGCCGCAAGGCUAAAACUCAAAGGAAUUGACGGGGGCCCGCACAAGCGGCGGAGCAUGCGGAUUAAUUCGAUGCAACGCGAAGAACCUUACCAAGGCUUGACAUGUUCUCGAUCGCCGUAGAGAUACGGUUUCCCCUUUGGGGNGGGUUCACAGGUGGUGCAUGGUUGUCGUCAGCUCGUGUCGUGAGAUGUUGGGUUAAGUCCCGCAACGAGCGCAACCCUCGUUCCAUGUUGCCAGCACGUCGUGGUGGGGACUCAUGGGAGACUGCCGGGGUCAACUCGGAGGAAGGUGAGGACGACGUCAAAUCAUCAUGCCCCUUAUGUCUUGGGCUUCACGCAUGCUACAAUGGCCGGUACAAUGGGUUGCGAUACUGUGAGGUGGAGCUAAUCCCAAAAAGCCGGUCUCAGUUCGGAUUGGGGUCUGCAACUCGACCCCAUGAAGUCGGAGUCGCUAGUAAUCGCAGAUCAGCAACGCUGCGGUGAAUACGUUCCC
rnacentral:rRNA from 1 species